UGUAUAAAAAGUUUGCUGUUGUUGGAAUCUGUUGAACAGGGAUGUUCAAAGCUAAUUGUGAGAUUUUUCUGCAUUUUAAUGAAAAAAGAGCAAGAAGAAAACAAUUAAUAAGAAGAAAAACAUUCAUGGAGGUCCGUGAAUUAACUUUUUAGAGUUUAGCUAUCAUAAUUCGGUGGAAAUAGCGGUACAAAAACUAAAAAAUCUACUGGUAUGCUGGAACAUCGCGAACGGAAUCCUGCGAAAUGGUCGAGACAAGGUUUCGGGAAAAAUCAAGGACUAAUUUUGGAAAACUAAAGCGGUGGAUUUACCGGAGAGUCUUCCGGUAAUCUGAGGGCGAUUCUUUUGCGUGAAGGCGAAAAAUAAGCCAGCUGCGGUCAUUAAAAAUAUAAAUAUGAGACCGAACAACAUACGGUUAACGACAGGCACUGUGGUUCAAAUCACACGGAAAAAAAUCCGUUUCCUGGGUGUGGUCAAUUACAGAUUUUUAGAAGCUGAACUUGAUUCCCUGGAAUUGGAAAAAAAAAUAUCGAAAACUAUGGGAUUUCACUGGAACUCUAUUGGCCAAUCCGAACCCUAUCCUCGAGUAAGACCAUCAAGCUCUUUCAGGCACCAUUCUUCUGUGCAUCAAAAUCUGAUAAUUUUUUUUUAUCAUGAAUCGAAAGGCUACUGGCUCGGAAUAGUCAAUAGAUUAUACAGACAAAAUGCAAUCAAAUUGAUAGUCAAAAGCGACGAAAGAUCGCCAUGAAAUCCGACACGAUGGAAGUGAAACUGCAGCAAAUAACCAUGAUAAUAUGAACAGUACAAUCUUUAGGAAUACACUCCCCGGAUCAUAUGGAUACUACAAUGAACAUGAAAAUCAACAGGUGCAUUUCCUGUUCGGCAUUGACCCAUAUUUUAUUGAAUCACACUUCGACGACUUUGCCAACAAGUUUAUCGGACAUCUCGCAGAAAUCGAACGGGAGUUAAUAGCACGAGCUGAAGGGUAUUUCAAUCAAAUUCUUCUUUCCCUUUUGGCAUUUGGUUUGGCGACAUAGACGUGAAUCGGUACCAGUUGAUAUUUCCAGUUGAGCUACCCGAAUACGAAAAUAUUGUAACAUAACAGUUCCUGUUGUAGUUAUAAAACGAUUAGAAACAGUGUAAAAAAACGUUUAUCAAAUUAUAUCUGAAACCAUAAAAAACAUUGCACUUAUCUUGAAUUCCAAAACGACGGUCUGUUGAAUAUGGCGUUAAGUUAUGUUACUGUUUAAAACUGUUAAAACUUCU